rnacentral:rRNA from 1 species
GCAUCGAUGAAGAACGCAGCGAAAUGCGAUAAGUAGUGUGAAUUGCAGAAUUCAGUGAAUCAUCGAAUCUUUGAACGCACAUUGCGCCCUUUGGUAUUCCAAAGGGCAUGCCUGUUCGAGCGUCAUUUGUACCCUCAAGCUUUGCUUGGUGUUGGGCGUCUUGUCUCUAGCUUUGCUGGAGACUCGCCUUAAAGUAAUUGGCAGCCGGCCUACUGGUUUCGGAGCGCAGCACAAGUCGCACUCUCUAUCAGCAAAGGUCUAGCAUCCAUUAAGCCUUUUUUCAACUUUUGACCUCGGAUCAGGUAGGGAUACCCGCUGAACUUAAGCAUAUCAAUAAGCGGAGGA